rnacentral:rRNA from 1 species
UACGUAGGGUGCGAGCGUUGUCCGGAAUUACUGGGCGUAAAGAGCUCGUAGGUGGUUUGUCGCGUUGUUCGUGAAAUCUCACGGCUUAACUGUGAGCGUGCGGGCGAUACGGGCAGACUAGAGUACUGCAGGGGAGACUGGAAUUCCUGGUGUAGCGGUGGAAUGCGCAGAUAUCAGGAGGAACACCGGUGGCGAAGGCGGGUCUCUGGGCAGUAGCUGACGCUGAGGCGCGACAGCGUGGGGAGCAAACAGG